GCCAGGCACCGUGGUGCAUGCCUGUAAUCCCAUCAGCUCGGGAGGCUGAGACAGGAGCAUCUCGACUUCAAAGCCAACCUCAGCAAUGGCAAGGCACUAAGCAACUCAGUGAGAUCCUGCCUCUA
rnacentral:sRNA from 1 species